CAGCCGCGGGAAUACGUAGGGUGCGAGCGUUAAUCGGAAUUACUGGGCGUAAAGCGUGCGCAGGCGGUUGUGUAAGACAGGUGUGAAAUCCCCGGGCUUAACCUGGGAACUGCGCUUGUGACUGCACAGCUAGAGUAUGGCAGAGGGGGGUGGAAUUCCACGUGUAGCAGUGAAAUGCGUAGAGAUGUGGAGGAACACCGAUGGCGAAGGCAGCCCCCUGGGCCAAUACUGACGCUCAUGCACGAAAGCGUGGGGAGCAAACAGGAUUAGAUACCCCUGUAGUCCCUGUCUCUUAUACACA
rnacentral:rRNA from 1 species